rnacentral:rRNA from 1 species
UACAGAGGGGGCAAGCGUUAUUCGGAAUUAUUGGGCGUAAAGGGCGCGUAGGCGGCCUUGCAAGUGGCGGGUGAAAUCCCUCGGCUUAACCGAGGAACUGCCUGCCAGACUGCAAGGCUCGAGACCGGGAGAGGUGAGUGGAAUUCCCAGUGUAGCGGUGAAAUGCGUAGAUAUCAGGAGGAACACCUGCGGUGUAGACGGCUUACUGGACCAUAACUGACGCUGAGGCACGAAAGCGUGGGUAGCAAACAGG